GGCUCAGUUGGUAGAGCAUGGUGUUUGCAAUGCCAGGGUUGUGGGUUCAAUUCCCAU
rnacentral:tRNA from 1 species